rnacentral:rRNA from 1 species
CAAUAGCGUAUAUUAAAGUUGUUGCGGUUAAAAAGCUCGUAGUUGGAUUUCUGCCGAGGACGACCGGUCCGCCCUCUGGGUGUGUAUCUGGUUUGGCCUGGGCAUCUUCUUGGAGAACGUAGCUGCACUUGACUGUGUGGUGCGGUGUCCAGGACUUUUACUUUGAGGAAAUUAGAGUGUUUCAAGCAGGCACACGCCUUGAAUACAUUAGCAUGGAAUAAUAAGAUAGGACCUCGGUUCUAUUUUGUUGGUUUCUAGAGCUGAGGUAAUGAUUAAUAGGGAUAGUUGGGGGCAUUCGUAUUUAACUGUCAGAGGUGAAAUUCUUGGAUUUGUUAAAGACGGACCACUGCGAAAGCAUUUGCCAAGGAUGUUNUCAUUUA